GAUGAACGCUGGCGGCGUGCCUAAUACAUGCAAGUCGAGCGAACAGACGAGGAGCUUGCUCCUCUGACGUUAGCGGCGGACGGGUGAGUAACACGUGGAUACCUACCUAUAAGACUGGGAUAACUUCGGGAAACCGGAGCUAAUACCGGAUAAUAUAUUGAACCGCAUGGUUCAAUAGUGAAAGACGGUUUUGCUGUCACUUAUAAAUGGAUCCGCGCCGCAUUAGCUAGUUGGUAAGGUAACGGCUUACCAAGGCAACGAUGCGUAGCCGACCUGAGAGGGUGAUCGGCCACACUGGAACUGAGACACGGUCCAGACUCCUACGGGAGGCAGCAGUAGGGAAUCUUCCGCAAUGGGCGAAAGCCUGACGGAGCAACGCCGCGUGAGUGAUGAAGGUCUUCGGAUCGUAAAACUCUGUUAUUAGGGAAGAACAAAUGUGUAAGUAACUAUGCACGUCUUGACGGUACCUAAUCAGAAAGCCACGGCUAACUACGUG
rnacentral:rRNA from 1 species